UAGGGUCAUAUCACGUUGAAACAUCGGUUCCUGUACGAACACUGAAGUUAGGCAACCUCGAUCCUAGUCAAUACCUAGAUGGGUGACCCUUUGGGAAUACCAGGUGGUGUAA